UACGGGGGGAGCAAGCGUUGUUCGGAUUUACUGGGCGUAAAGGGCGCGUAGGCGGCCACCGCAAGUCGACUGUGAAAUCUCCGGGCUUAACCCGGAAAGGUCAGCCGAUACUGCGGGGCUAGAGUGCAGAAGGGGCAACUGGAAUUCUCGGUGUAGCGGUGAAAUGCGCAGAUAUCGAGAGGAACACCAGUAGCGAAGGCGGCUCACUGGGCCGGUACCGACACUGAGGAGCGAAAGCGUGGGGAGCAAACAGG
rnacentral:rRNA from 1 species